AUGGUGGUGGAUGGAUAUAGGUGGGUUAUGGUGAAGGGUGGAUGGGUGGAUUGUGUUCUCUUUGGUUUUCUUCUUUGCAUGUGUGUGUUGUCAUCUUUGUUUCUCCUUUGCACAUGACAUGUGCUGUCCAUGUUUAGAUCCCCUUUGCAUUUGCACACACUUGCUUCAUCAUUUCAACCACAAAACACACCAUUUCCUUCCCCUUUGCCGUGUAUGUCCCUUUCACUUUGCAUGUGGGCUUCUUUGCAUGUGUUUUCUCCCUCUCUUGCCUUGAGUUUGCAUGUGGGCUUCUUUG
rnacentral:lncRNA from 1 species